UGCCACCACAGCUCCACAUGCACUGAGGAAUUUAUUGCUUCAAUUGACUACAUUUACCAUCAACAUUGAUUGGACAUCCACAUA